GAGAGGUGGUGCAUGGCCGUCGUCAGUUCGUACUGUAAAAGCGUUCUGUUAAGUCAGAUAACGAANCGAGACCCUCAUCUCUAUUUGCUACCCGUCUCUCCGGAGGCGGCGCACUAUAGGGAGACCGCUGGUGUUAAACCAGAGGAAGGCGAGGGCAACGACAGGUCAGUAUGCCCCGAAUGUCCUGGGCUACACGCGCGCUACAAAGGACGGGACAAUGGGAAGCCAGGCCGAGAGGCCGAGCUAACCCGAAACCCGUUCAUAGUUCGGAUCGAGGGCUGUAACUCGCCCUCGUGAAGCUGGAUUCCGUAGUAAUCGUGUUUCAAUAUAGCACGGUGAAUAUGCUCCUGCUCCUUGCACACACCGCCCGUCAAACCAUC
rnacentral:rRNA from 1 species